CUGGAGUUUGUUACAGACUAUAUCCAAAAAUGAUCCAUGUUGCAAUGCUCCAAUAUCAGUUACCUGAAAUUCUCCGAACACCUUUGCAAGAGCUAUGCCUCCACAUCAAAAGUUUGCAGCUUGGAGCUGUUGGGUCUUUUUUGGCUAAGGCACUUCAGCCACCAGAUCCUCUUGCUGUUCAAAAUGCAAUCGAACUUCUCAAAACCAUUGGAGCUUUAGAUGACAUAGAG
rnacentral:lncRNA from 1 species